AGGUGAACAUGCACCAGGCCCAGUAGGAUGAGCCGAAGUGACCCACCGAGGCCACCAGGCUGAAGGAGAUACAGGAAGAGGGUGAGCACAUAAGAGUGAGGCAGGUGUGUCACGGCACUGUGCAACACCAUCAGGACUGCAUCCCUCACUGAUCUGUUCCUCCUGUAUGCAAACUGCAUUGGGUCAAGGGCUCUGUCCACAUGAGACCUGAGACGUUCUGCCUCUACAAUAACAAGAAUCCAGCCAGAACCAAGGAGCAUCGGGAUUGUCAAGAAUAUUCUCAAUUCGCAACACUCCCUUUUCCCACCCCUGGAAGCCAAAACAUUUCCGCUUCUCUUCCUCCUGUAAUGGGAUGACACUGUGGAGGUGGAGGGAGAGAAAGAAGGAGGAAGAGAG